rnacentral:rRNA from 1 species
UACGAAGGGUGCUAGCGUUGUUCGGAAUUACUGGGCGUAAAGCGCGCGUAGGCGGCGGCACAAGUCAGGGGUGAAAUCCCACAGCUCAACUGUGGAAUUGCCUUUGAAACUAGGUCGCUAGAGUGUCGGAGGGGAUAGCGGAAUUCCUAAUGUAGAGGUGAAAUUCGUAGAUAUUAGGAGGAACACCGGUGGCGAAGGCGGCUAUCUGGACGACAACUGACGCUGAGGCGCGAAAGCGUGGGUAUCAAAC